AGAGUUUGAUCCUGGCUCAGGACGAACGCUAGCGGCGUGCCUAACACAUGCAAGUCGAGCGGGGCCAAAGUGGGAGUAAUCCUGUUUUGGUCUAGCGGCGAACGGGUGCGUAACACGUGAGCAACCUACCCCGGCGUCUGGGAUACCCCUUCGAAAGGAGGGUUAAUACCGGAUACCGUCGCGACGGCGCCUGCCGUUGCGAGCAAAGGAGCAAUUCGCGCUGGGAGGGGCUCGCGGCCUAUCAGCUAGUCGGUGGGGUAACGGCCUACCGAGGCGACGACGGGUAACCGGCCUGAGAGGGUGGCCGGUCACACUGGGACUGCGACACGGCCCAGACUCCUACGGGAGGCAGCAGUGGGGAAUCUUGCGCAAUGGGGGAAACCCUGACGCAGCGACGCCGCGUGGGCGAAGAAGGCCUUCGGGUUGUAAAGCCCUGUUGGUAGGAAAGAAAACUGACGGUACCUACUGAGGAAGCCCCGGCUAACUCCGUGCCAGCAGCCGCGGUAAGACGGAGGGGGCAAGCGUUGUCCGGAAUUACUGGGCGUAAAGGGCGCGUAGGCGGCUUUUUAAGUCGGUUGUGAAAGCCCCGGGCUCAACCCGGGGAGGCCAGCCGAUACUGGGGAGCUUGAGUGCAGGAGAGGGAAGUGGAAUUGCCGGUGUAGCGGUGGAAUGCGUAGAUAUCGGCAAGAACACCCGCGGCGAAGGCGGCUUCCUGGACUGCAACUGACGCUGAGGCGCGAAAGCUAGGGGAGCGAACAGGAUUAGAUACCCUGUAGUCCUAGCCCUAAACGAUGGUCACUAGGUGUCGGGGGUAUCGACCCCCCCGGUGCCGCAGCCAACGCAUUAAGUGACCCGCCUGGGGAGUACGGCCGCAAGGUUGAAACUCAAAGGAAUUGACGGGGGCCCGCACAAGCGGUGGAGCAUGUGGUUUAAUUCGACGCUACGCGAAGAACCUUACCAGGGCUUGACAUGUCCGGAACCCGGAUGAAAGUCUGGGGUGCCCACGCAAGUGGGAGCCGGAACACAGGUGGUGCAUGGCUGUCGUCAGCUCGUGCUGUGAGAUGUUGGGUUAAGUCCCGCAACGAGCGCAACCCUUGUCGCAUGUUGCCAGGCGUCGGGAAACCGGCGCGGCACUCUUGCGAGACUGCCCCGGUAACGGGGAGGAAGGCGGGGACGACGUCAAGUCAGCAUGCCCCUUACGUCCUGGGCUACACACAUGCUACAAUGGGCGGUACAGAGGGAUGCGAGACCGCGAGGUGGAGCCAAUCCCACAAAGCCGUCCUCAGUUGGAAUCGCAGUCUGCAACUCGACUGCGUGAACCUGGAAUCGCUAGUAACCGCAGGUCAGCAUCACUGCGGUGAAUACGUUCCCGGGCCUUGUACACACCGCCCGUCAAGCGAUGAGAGUCGGCUGCACCUGAAGUCGCUGGCCCAAUUCUUCGGAAAGGGAGGCGCCCAAGGUGCGGUCGGCGAUUGGCGCUAAGUCGUAACAAGGUA
rnacentral:rRNA from 1 species